rnacentral:rRNA from 1 species
UCGUCACACUAUCAUUAACUGAAUCCAUAGGUUAAUGAGGCGAACCGGGGGAACUGAAACAUCUAAGUACCCCGAGGAAAAGAAAUCAACCGAGAUUCCCCCAGUAGCGGCGAGCGAACGGGGAGGAGCCCAGAGCCUGAAUCAGCAUGUGUGUUAGUGGAAGCGUCUGGAAAGGCGCGCGAUACAGGGUGACAGCCCCGUACACAAAAGCGCAUGUGCUGUGAGCUCGAUGAGUAGGGCGGGACACGUGGUAUCCUGUCUGAAUAUGGGGGGACCAUCCUCCAAGGCUAAAUACUCCUGACUGACCGAUAGUGAACCAGUACCGUGAGGGAAAGGCGAAAAGAACCCCGGCGAGGGGAGUGAAAAAGAACCUGAAACCGUGUACGUACAAGCAGUGGGAGCCCCACCACUAAGCCAGUGGUGAACUCCACAUACGCAUCCUUUGCUGAGGAUACGGUUAACGGAGCGAAAGCGACGUUCAACCGCAAAAGAAGCAGAGGGGGCUUAGUGGUGGGGUGACUGCGUACCUUUUGUAUAAUGGGUCAGCGACUUAUAUUCUGUAGCAAGGUUAACCGAAUAGGGGAGCCGGAGGGAAACCGAGUCUUAAUUGGGCGUUAAGUUGCAGGGUAUAGACCCGAAACCCGGUGAUCUAGCCAUGGGCAGGUUGAAGGUUGGGUAACACUAACUGGAGGACCGAACCGACUAAUGUUGAAAAAUUAGCGGAUGACCUGUGGCUGGGGGUGAAAGGCCAAUCAAACCGGGAGAUAGCUGGUUCUCCCCGAAAGCUAUUUAGGUAGCGCCUCGUGAAUUCAUCUCCGGGGGUAGAGCACUGUUUCGGCUAGGGGGCCAUCCCGGCUUACCAACCCGAUGCAAACUGCGAAUACCGGAGAAUGUUAUCACGGGAGACACACGGCGGGUGCUAACGUCCGUCGUGAAGAGGGAAACAACCCAGACCGCCAGCUAAGGUCCCAAAGUCAUGGUUAAGUGGGAAACGAUGUGGGAAGGCCCAGACAGCCAGGAUGUUGGCUUAGAAGCAGCCAUCAUUUAAAGAAAGCGUAAUAGCUCACUGGUCGAGUCGGCCUGCGCGGAAGAUGUAACGGGGCUAAACCAUGCACCGAAGCUGCGGCAGCGACACUCAGGUGUUGUUGGGUAGGGGAGCGUUCUGUAAGCCUGUGAAGGUGGCCUGUGAGGGUUGCUGGAGGUAUCAGAAGUGCGAAUGCUGACAUAAGUAACGAUAAAGCGGGUGAAAAGCCCGCUCGCCGGAAGACCAAGGGUUCCUGUCCAACGUUAAUCGGGGCAGGGUGAGUCGACCCCUAAGGCGAGGCCGAAAGGCGUAGUCGAUGGGAAACGGGUUAAUAUUCCCGUACUUGGUGUUACUGCGAAGGGGGGACGGAGAAGGCUAUGUUGGCCGGGCGACGGUUGUCCCGGUUUAAGCGUGUAGGUGUGUGUUCCAGGUAAAUCCGGUUCACUUUAACACUGAGGCGUGAUGACGAGGCACUACGGUGCUGAAGCAACAAAUGCCCUGCUUCCAGGAAAAGCCUCUAAGCAUCAGGUAACAUCAAAUCGUACCCCAAACCGACACAGGUGGUCAGGUAGAGAAUACCAAGGCGCUUGAGAGAACUCGGGUGAAGGAACUAGGCAAAAUGGUGCCGUAACUUCGGGAGAAGGCACGCUGACAUGUAGGUGAAGUGAUUUACUCACGGAGCUGAAGUCAGUCGAAGAUACCAGCUGGCUGCAACUGUUUAUUAAAAACACAGCACUGUGCAAACACGAAAGUGGACGUAUACGGUGUGACGCCUGCCCGGUGCCGGAAGGUUAAUUGAUGGGGUCAGCGCAAGCGAAGCUCCUGAUCGAAGCCCCGGUAAACGGCGGCCGUAACUAUAACGGUCCUAAGGUAGCGAAAUUCCUUGUCGGGUAAGUUCCGACCUGCACGAAUGGCGUAAUGAUGGCCAGGCUGUCUCCACCCGAGACUCAGUGAAAUUGAACUCGCUGUGAAGAUGCAGUGUACCCGCGGCAAGACGGAAAGACCCCGUGAACCUUUACUAUAGCUUGACACUGAACAUUGAGCCUUGAUGUGUAGGAUAGGUGGGAGGCUUUGAAGUGUGGACGCCAGUCUGCAUGGAGCCGGCCUUGAAAUACCACCCUUUAAUGUUUGAUGUUCUAACGUGGACCCGUGAUCCGGGUUGCGGACAGUGUCUGGUGGGUAGUUUGACUGGGGCGGUCUCCUCCUAAAGAGUAACGGAGGAGCACGAAGGUUGGCUAAUCCUGGUCGGACAUCAGGAGGUUAGUGCAAUGGCAUAAGCCAGCUUGACUGCGAGCGUGACGGCGCGAGCAGGUGCGAAAGCAGGUCAUAGUGAUCCGGUGGUUCUGAAUGGAAGGGCCAUCGCUCAACGGAUAAAAGGUACUCCGGGGAUAACAGGCUGAUACCGCCCAAGAGUUCAUAUCGACGGCGGUGUUUGGCACCUCGAUGUCGGCUCAUCACAUCCUGGGGCUGAAGUAGGUCCCAAGGGUAUGGCUGUUCGCCAUUUAAAGUGGUACGCGAGCUGGGUUUAGAACGUCGUGAGACAGUUCGGUCCCUAUCUGCCGUGGGCGCUGGAGAACUGAGGGGGGCUGCUCCUAGUACGAGAGGACCGGAGUGGACGCAUCACUGGUGUUCGGGUUGUCAUGCCAAUGGCACUGCCCGGUAGCUAAAUGCGGAAGAGAUAAGUGCUGAAAGCAUCUAAGCACGAAACUUGCCCCGA